ACCGACAGAAAACUUGGAAUUGAACGGUUAUCUAUCCAUGUAAGCAUUUAACCAAGGUGUCAAACAUGCUGCCCAGAAUGAUGAACUUGAUGAGACAUAAGGCAACUAAAAUACCGACUCGGCAUGCCAACCAUUACGCGACAAUAUUCAUAUCAGCAUGCAUCUUGUUCUAGUAACGACUCGUUUGAAUCAUUCAGUCCCCUCCAAGACUUAGGCCAUUCAGAUAAGAAAGAUAUCUCUGUGCUGCAGGACAUAGGGCGAUCAAAUAGUUUGUCCAUAAAAUCAUCAUAUAAAAGGCACGAAAGGUCAUUUGGAUCAGCAGCUUGCCAACAUAAACAACAUGAAUAAAUAUAUGAGCAAAUCAAAAGCUUGCCUACGAUGGAAUGACGUAACGAUUAUAAACCAAAGGAAUCAGUUCUUUGUUCAGUAGUUAGUUUCCCACAAAUACUGCAGAUUAGCCAGCCACACACAUUGCUACUAGUCAAAAACACUCAUCAAGUAAGACACAGAAGGUAUGAAAUCCAAAUCUAUUCCAUCCUAUAAGACACAGAAGGUAUGAACCAUUGGACACUGAAUCUAAACCACUUGAUGAGGACAAAAAUUACUCAAAAUUCUGGCCACUUCUUUUAAAAAGCUACUUCAAAACAAGAUCAGUCAAAACAAUACUUUUAUGCUAUUUCAGAGAUGAAAAUGAUCCAUAAGAGAAUUAUUUAAAACAUCAAGCUCAAUGCUUAAAAAUUCUGAAGCAGCAUAAAAAAUGUGCCCUCCCACCAACCAGUUGUUCACUGUGCUCGGACAGUUCUUAAAAUCAUCAUAUUGAAGGCUGUACCAGCAGCUUACUAGCAUAACCCAUAUGGUUGAUGUAUUUCCUUUAGAUGGAGCAGAAGGGCAACUGGAAUGACUAUAUGAGUAUCCUUAUAGACAUUUCGAUGAUGUAUUUGCAACUAAUGUCAGCCAUUCCAUUGUUUCCGUCUAGGACUCCAUUUUAGGACUUUCACUUUAGAAGCUUUCUAAAAUAACCCUCAUGGUUGAUAUAUGUCUUUGAGGUGGAGCAGAAGGGCAACUGGAUGACUAUAUGAGUAUCCUUCACAGACAAGCCAACAAUGUAAUUUUCGAAGUGUCAGUCAUUCCAGUGUUCCCUUCUAGGACUCCAUUUUAGGACCUUCACUUUACAGGAUAAAGCAACAAGAAUCUGUAAAUAUGAUCACUCCCAACAGCAAAAAAGGUUCGAGUUGGAUACAAGGGACACCAAUUUUUCAAUAGCAAAAGCAUGCAAGACAGGCCUUAUAUAAGGGUUCUAUAGCAUUCCCGUGAAUCAAAGAUAAGAAUAACAAUAGAUGAUUGAUACAAACCAGAGAAAUGAUUGAAAUUUUCGGAAAACAAGAUAUAGAAGAAACAUUCAACUUUCCACAUGAGGCAAUAAAUAAUAAAUGGUCUAAAAGAAAAGUCGGAAGAAAUAUGUAUGACUGACGUAAGUUAACACCACUGCUUCCAAAAAGCCUGAGAGAUGCGAUCAGAAACCCCAAGGACUCUUUACUAAAGAUGCAUAUUGGGUCUAAUUCUUUCGAAUUCAGUGAUUCUGUCAUUCUUUACACUCGAGUUAUUUUUUGUUCACACACCGACUUAGAACUCAAACCCUUUUUAUAAGGGACAUUAAGGCAACAGCAUAAACAACAGUGCCAUCAAUUUGACAAAAAUAUAUAACCCACAAAUUACAUCACAAAACUGUGAGAUUCAAACAACAAGAUGAAAGACUUGCGGAUCAUUAAUCACAUAAAAAGCAGUCAAUGAAAACCAAUCUAUAGUUUGGAGAUUCCCAAUUUAUGAAUUUAAAAACUUAUGUGAAAGAACUCACAAUCAGAAACCUUAUCAAAAAAAUUGCCAACAUCAAGUAAAUAUACGAAAGAACUCACAAGGAAAAACCUUAUAAUCAAAAUCUUUCCCAACAUCAAGUAAAUAUGUGAAAGAACUCACAAGCAAGGGAAUCGAAAACUUCCUAUCAAUCUGUGGAGAGAAGGACAUAAAGUAACUAUUAAUCACAUCAUACUCAUAAAGUUUUCAUGAUCCGGCAAAACUCAGAGGGUUGAAAUCUCAUUCUUCCACUGAAAAUACCUUAACAUCCUAAAUUUACAAAACUAAAAGACAAGUAUUUAACUCAUAUAACACCACUAAGAUUUCUUCCCAGCGACCAUAUAAAGGCAUAUCAUUAUAUAAAAGUCUCUGACACCAACUUGCAUAUAAAAAAUCAACAUGCAGUCCAAUAAUUGUAAGUAUAUAAGCACCAUAAUAUAUGUCCAACAAUAUGAAAGAACCCAAUUCAGUUAGCCACACAAUUUCAAACCAACAGUUAGCCAUAUUAUAUUCUAGAAUUACUGACCUGGUAUCAGAGGAUUGCUGUUCAAAUAUUCGAACAAAGAUAAGAUAACUCUUUAGGGACAUAUAUAUGGUUUCCUUCUAGGACCCCAAUGGGGUAAAAGGACAACCAAACUUGGGAGAGAGUACUAGGAUACAAGUGAUGUUGGGGAGAGAAUACUAACGGGAUUUCCAGCAUAGUUUUUGGUUUAGUUGUGAACAAAGGUAGGAUAAGAUGUUACAUUAGGUACAUCCUUUGAUUAGGAACAUAGAUUAACCUAAAAAGGGUUCCUGUCUAGGACCCCUAGGAAGAGAUGCGACCUUGUUGAAGCUUUACUAACAAAUUAAAAUUAUAAAUCCCAUGCACCACAAUUUGAAAAGCAGACCUCAAAUAUGUACCUCCGGAUGAGAGGGUAGUUUAAUCCAUAUAUAAACAAUCUGAUAGAUCAUCAGAAAUCAGUAGUAUAGUAUUAAUAGAAGUCCAAAGAGCAGAAAGAUAACACAAAGACUGUUGUCAUAGUAUAUUUAGGGUAAACCCCAACUUACAGACUCUGAAUCGGUUCCAAUCUAGGAUUCCAUAGAUAUAAGGCUCAUCUGAAGGACAGAAGGACAAUCGAAUGACUAUUGUCAUAGUACAAUCAUGGAAAGCCAGUUUACAAAUCCUGAAUAGAUUCCCAUCUAGGACCCUCUUGACAAAUGACUCGUCCAAAGGGCAGAAGGGCAACCAUACCGACUGUUGCCAUAGUAUAUUUAUGGGAAACCAGAUUUCAGACUUUUAAAAUAGAUUCCCCUCUAGGACCCUUUAGACAAAUGGCUCGUCUGAAGGCAGAAAGGCAACCAUACGACUACUGUCAUAGCAUAUUCACGGGAAACCAGAUUUAGGACUUUGAAUAGGUCCCCAUCUAGGACCCUAUAUACAUAGGGCUCAUCAAAGGGUAGAAGGGCAACCGAAAGACUGUUUCAUAGCAAAUUUCUUGCCAACUAGCUGACUGACCUCGUAUAUGUACCCAUCUAGAACCCUAUGGACAAAAGGGUCGUCCAAAUGGAAGAAGGGCAACUGAAAGCUUGUUCUCAUAGUACAUUUCAGGUAAACCAUAAGCUUAUGAUUUCCACUUCACCAACCAUCAGAUUUCAGAAAUAACAGAGGCACAAAAACCCGUACAGGGAAGGGACUCCACCUAAGAUUGAUGAAAACUUAUAAAAAAAGGUAGGGGCUAAACCACAAUUUGAAAAGCAAACCUCAAAUAUGUACCUCCGGAUGAAAGGGUAAUUUAAUCCAUAUAUGAACAAUCUAAUAGAUCAUCAGAAAUCAGUAGUAUAGUAUUAAUAGAAGUCCAAAGGGCAGAAAGAUAACGCAAAGACUGCUGUCAUAGUAUAUUUAUGGUAAACCCCAACUUAUGGACUUUGAAUCGGUUCCAAUCUAGGAUCCCAUAGAUACAAGGCUCAUCCGAUGGACAGAAGGGCAACCGAAUGAUUAUUGUCAUAGUACAAUCAUGGAAAGCCAGUUUACAAAUCCUGAAUAGAUUCCCAUUUAGGACCCUCUUGACAAAUGGCUCGUCCAAAGGGCAGAAGGGCAACCAUACCGACUGUUGUCAUAGUAUAUUUAUGGGGAAUCAGAUUUCAGACUUUUAAAAUAGAUUUCCAUCUAGAACUCUUUAGACAAAUGGCUCGUCUGAAGGCAGAAGGGCAACCAUACGACUACUGUCAUAGCAUAUUCACGGGAAACCAGAUUUAGGACUUUGAAUAGGUCCCCAUCUAGGACCCUAUAUACAUAGGGCUCAUCAAAGGGUAGAAGGGCAACCGAAAGACUGUUUCAUAGCAAAUUUCUUGCCAACCAGCUGACUGACCUCGUAUAUAUACCCAUCUAGAACCCUAUGGACAAAAGGGUCGUCCAAAUGGAAGAAGGGCAACUGAAAGCUUGUUCUCAUAGUACAUUUCAGGUAAACCACAAGCUUAUGAUUUCCAUUUCACCAACCAUCAGAUUUCAGAAUUAACUGAGGCACAAAAAACCAUACAGGGAAGAGACUCCGUCUAAGAUUGAUGAAAACUUAUAAAAAAAAGGUAGGGGCUACCCAUCUCAUAAUCUUGAAAUAUGGUUGAACACCAUCCUAACCAUCUUAUGUUACCAACGUCCACUGCAUCAUCAGAAUUUGAUAUUCAUAUACCGAAAUGGGACAGAUAGAUCACUAAUCAAAUAAAAACCAGUAAUGACAAUCAAUCUGUGGUUUUGACCUUCUGAUACAUCGGGAACAAGAUGAGUUUUGAAAUAUGUCGUAAGUACUUUCUAAAAGAACCCAGAAACAAGGCCUCGUCAACAUAUUUCCCAACUUCAUGUAAGUAUUUAAUUUUCAGAAAAAAAAUUAUGAGUGGAGAGAAGGACAUACAAUACAAUUAAUCACCUUAAACUCGUAAAAUUUCAUGAUCCGACGAAACUAGGAGAUGGCAGAGGAUUGAAAUCUCCUUUUCAGAUGGCAAUUUUUGAAACCCUAAUUUUACAUAAGGUAAAGACAAGCAUUUUAAAGAACCCACAAACCAAGGGACUCAAUUGAGAAAGCAAACUAUCGAUGGAAAAGAAAGGAGAUGAAUUACCGCUAAUCAAAUAAUAAUGACCAAGUUUCAUGAUCAUGCAGGAACGAAAGAGGGCAGAAGAUUGAAUCCUCGUUUCGUUUACGAAUCGGAACUCAUGAAACCCUAGAUUCAUAUAAACAGAACCGAGAAGCAUUGGAAAGAUAAUAAAAUAACAUAGCUCCAACUUCCCUGAAUGAAGUAAUUAUAGAAUAGUCUGCACGGACUUGAUAAUCAGAAACCCACAUAACCGCAUAACGUUUACAAGAAGGUAAAUUGCCAUUCACAAAGUUUCAUGUUCCCACCAAAAUCAAGAGGAAGAACCUCCGAUGAAAGUCAUCAUUUACUCAAAAUCACAAUUUCAAUUGAGACAACUGUCGAUAGAGAAGAAGCGAGAUGAGAUGAAUUACCAUUCAUAAAGUUUCAUGAUCCUGCUGGUAUGAGAGAGGCGCAGAAGAUUGAAUCCUCAUCAACACGAACUGAAACUAAUGAAACCCUUGCUAGAUUCAUAAUUUCAUACAAACAGAGUAGAAAAGGGCGAGAGCGAGAGCGAGA
rnacentral:lncRNA from 1 species